GCGGGCGUGCUGGAAUAGGUAGACAGACCAGACUUAAAAUCUGGCGGGCUUUAUGCCCUUGGCGGUUCAAGUCCGCCCGUCCGUACCA
rnacentral:tRNA from 1 species